rnacentral:rRNA from 1 species
UACAGAGGUUGCAAGCGUUAAUCGGAUUUACUGGGCGUAAAGCGUGUGUAGGUGGUUCGACAAGUCUGUUGUGAAAUCUCCCGGCUUAACUGGGAGGGUGCGGCGGAGACUGGAGUGCUAGAGUGUGGGAGAGGUAAGCGGAAUUCCUGGUGUAGCGGUGAAAUGCGUAGAUAUCAGGAGGAACACCUGUGGUGUAGACAGCUUACUGGACCACGACUGACGCUGAGACACGAAAGCGUGGGUAGCAAACAGG